AAUAUAUCGUGGUAUAUCCAAACAAUGGAAUAUUACCCAGCAAUAAAAUAAAAUAAACUUUUGAUACAUGCAGCAUUAUGGUUGGAUCUCAAUAUAAUUAAUCUGACAAACUUCAGACAAACUUAAAAUUCUAGAAAUGCACAUUAAUCUGUAGUCAUAGAUGGUCAGAUGGCUUCACAGCUGCAUUUCAAUGCUUAUCAAAUGCUAUGCCUUAAACAUGUGCAGCUCAUUGCUUGUCAAAUUACAACUCAAAAAAAUGUUAGAAAGAAUUAUCUCUUUGGUAUUUCCACAGAAUUUUGUUUUAAAUCUCUAUUACAGUGUUACCUUUGAAGUUAGAAACUUUAGAGUUAGAAGGCCUGGGAUGGAGUCCCAUUUCCAUUAAUUAUUAAGCAUGUGACUUUAGGGAAGUUAAAAUCAGUUUUGUCAUCUAUAAAAUGGAUAUAACUAAAGUGCUUCUCUCAGAAUAUUGUUCAGACGAUUGAAUGUAUCAACUUGGCACAUUGCCUAUCAACUGGUGAGUGCUCAAAAAUAUCCAUUGCUGUGAUCAGUAAUGCCACAGGGUGACCAUUUAAGGACAGAGUCCAUGUUUUAUCCAUCCUUAUGUUCCUACUAUGUUACUGUUGAACAAAGUACACUCUCAAUUACAGCUACAUAGGAGGAAUAAAUUCCGGUGUUCCGUACCACCAUAAGAUGACUGUAGCACACAAUAAUAUAUUAUAUAGUUUAAAAUAUCUAGAAGGAGAAUAUUGAAUAUUCCCAACACAAAGAAGUGAUAAAUGUUUGAGAUAUGAAUAUGGUAAUUACCCUAAUCUGAUCUCUAUAUAUUAUAUCAUUGAAACAUCACAAUGUACCUACAAAUAUGUACAAUUAUUACUUGUCAUUUAAAAAAAUAAAAAAUUGAGUAGGUUAAACUGGCUUAUUAUUGCAAACUGCCAGAGUAUAUUUAGCCAUUCCUUGGCAUUUGAUCAUUUGGAGCAUUUUCAGUUAGUUUUUUUAAUGUUCAGACAUACACAGCUAUAAUAUGUUGGCACAGUAAUCAUACAAACCCUCUCUUCCCCCAUUUCAACUUACUUCUUGGGAUAUAUUCUCAGGAAUAUUAUUAUCAGAAAGAGCAUGAUGAAAAUAUUGGAUCGUGGUGGCUAUUUUAUUUUGUCUAGGAUGUUUUCCCAUUUCCUGUCUUCUUGUUCACCUCCCUUUUCUUCAGGAAAUGCACAAGGAGGAGUGUGGUCCAGGGAGUGGUCAUUUAUAGUGCUCACCUUCACUGGAUGGGCUCCUCAUUCUCCUGUAUUCCUCUGGGAAAUGACUGAUUUGUCAGUGUUGGGGGAAGGACAUGUGACCUGAGUCUGUCCAAUCAGUGUCCAUGUUGGAGAGGGAAAGAUUCAGUCCUCUGUUUCUCUUGGAUCUUGAGAUAUAGGAUGCAGGCCUUAGAUGGUCAACAGCUCAGUCUUCAAUGGUGUGAGCUACUCUAGGGUCCUUCAAAAUUACAGAGGAAUGCAAUUUUUACUUACUUCAGAAAGUCUUGAACAAUAUGAUUGGUUUUGUGAUGUUUUUCUCUAAAUCUUACUCAAUUUGCUGUCCUGAAAGAUUACUCAUUUGCAAUGUCACUAGCAGGGGAUGAGUCAACCGACAUCCCCAUUGCCCCACAUACAUGGUUUUAGAAUUUUUAAAUUGCCUUUACUAAUUUAAUACGUAUGAGGGUCAUCUAAGUUUAGAAUUCUGGACCUAUGUAUACAUGUGCUAUGUUAUAUAUAUAUAUAUAUAUAUAUGAAAGAAAUACAUCAGCUUAUCUUAACCGUUCAUCAUUAAAAUGGUUGGAAAAAAAAGAAUUCUGGACCUAUAGCCCAUCUUGUCACAUAUUGCUUUUCUCAGACUCCUUCAGAAAUGCAACACAGAGGACUCUAGCCCAACGCAUAAUCUACACUCCAAACUGAAGUUUCUCCUUCAAACUUUGUCUGCUUUACCAUCCUGAUGAGCUUGCCUUCACAUUAACUCAAUGACCCAUGUUGCCCUGUUCACCGAAAUCCUGAAACCAACACUGAGGUAGUCCUGGAGCCUGGCUGUGGCUCUGCCCAACUUUCCUGAGCCACCUCCACUCCUUGCUACUACUGGUCACAGUGGAGAGAUACACAGAGGACAACAGGCAAGGAAAAAAGAGAGCUGAAGAUUAUCAUUAUUUCCUCACUCUUUUCAUCAAAGAUAUUAUCUCCUGGUCCUGAAAUAGUACUGCUCCUUGACACCCUCCUGAGAUACCAGACAAUAAAAAAUGUAGAUUUUAAAAAGUAACCAUCACCUUAUGCUUUAUAAUAAGCCACAAUUUUGUGCUGUUCUUAUUCUAUUAAAGACAAUCGCUACAAUAUAUAAACAUGGUUAGAAACCAUGCAAGCAAGAAAAGCAUGUGGUGAAAUAUUUAAAGAAUUGAAAGGAAAAAAAAAUCUACCUAGAAGUUUGUACCCAGUGAAAUUAUCCUCCAAAAGUGAAGGAAAAAUAAAGACUUUAUCAGAAAAAAGAAUUGAUGUAGACCUACCUUGCAAAGAAGGAUUACAAGAAGUUCUUCAGAGAGGAGGAAAAUGGUGUAGGUCAGAAACUUGGGUCUGCAUAAGCAACAGGGAGCAUCAGGAAAGAAGUUAGGUUGUCAAUAAAAGAGCCACGAGAGAGAGAGAAGAGAACUUGAAGAGACAAUAAAGGACACAAUUUGCUGCUUUCUGAAUCACUGAUGAAUCUGAGUCAGUUAAGGUAUAAAUGCUUCAAAAAUAAAUAGUAUGAAUGGCAAGAAUGGACUCUUGUUAAGUACUUUCUAAUAGUAGAAUUUGCAUUUAUUAUAAACCUGCAUCGAUGUUGCACUUUUAUCAAAAUUAAAGCCAUUAAGUCAAAUAAUCCUAGUUUAAUUAUGAAUAAGAGAUGUAUUAAUCAACUACUGUAAGUACAUUGUCACAUUAUUUAAAGAAAACUAAAAAAUCAUUUUGACAAGGAGAUCAUGUGCCAAACUUAAUAAACAUAGCCAGGACAAUUUGGGUUGCUUAAAGAUUUUUAAAAACAAAUUUGUAUGGAGAUUUUUGCAGCAUGGAUAUGGAUAUAGAUAUAGAUAAGUAGAUAUAUAUAUAUAUGAAACAAGAUCAUUAGCAAUGUUUAGGUCUG
rnacentral:lncRNA from 1 species